UACGUAGGGUGCGAGCGUUAAUCGGAAUUACUGGGCGUAAAGCGUGCGUAGGCGGUUUGCCGUGUCCUGUGUGAAAGCCCCGGGCUCAACCUGGGAAUUGCAUGGGAAACUGGCAGGCUUGAGUGUGGCAGAGGAGGGUGGAAUUCCGCGUGUAGCAGUGAAAUGCGUAGAGAUGCGGAGGAACACCGAUGGCGAAGGCAG
rnacentral:rRNA from 1 species